rnacentral:rRNA from 1 species
CUACCGGGAGCAGCAGUGGGGAAUAUUGGACAAUGGGCGCAAGCCUGAUCCAGCCAUGCCGCGUGUGUGAAGAAGGCCUUCGGGUUGUAAAGCACUUUUGUCCGGAAAGAAAACCUUUCGAUUAAUACUCGAAGGGAAUGACGGUACCGGAAGAAUAAGCACCGGCUAACUUCGUGCCAGCAGCCGCGGUAAUACGAAGGGUGCAAGCGUUACUCGGAAUUACUGGGCGUAAAGCGUGCGUAGGUGGUUUGUUAAGUCUGAUGUGAAAGCCCUGGGCUCAACCUGGGAACUGCAUUGGAAACUGGCUUACUAGAGUGCGGUAGAGGGUAGUGGAAUUCCCGGUGUAGCAGUGAAAUGCGUAGAUAUCGGGAGGAACAUCUGUGGCGAAGGCGACUACCUGGACCAGCACUGACACUGAGGCACGAAAGCGUGGGGAGCAAACAGGAUUAGAUACCCUGGUAGUCCACGCCCUAAACGAUGCGAACUGGAUGUUGGGAGCAACUUGGCUCUCAGUAUCGAAGCUAACGCGUUAAGUUCGCCGCCUGGGAAGUACGGUCGCAAGACUGAAACUCAAAGGAAU